AAGACCUCGCGCGAUUGGAGCGGCCGAUAUCAGAUUAGCUAGUUGGUGGGGUAAAGGCCUACCAAGGCGACGAUCAGUAGCGGGUCUGAGAGGAUGAUCCGCCACACUGGAACUGAGACACGGUCCAGACUCCUACGGGAGGCAGCAGUGGGGAAUUUUGGACAAUGGGGGCAACCCUGAUCCAGCCAUUCCGCGUGAGUGAAGAAGGCCUUCGGGUUGUAAAGCUCUUUCAGCUGGAACGAAACGGUACAUCCUAAUACGGUGUGCUAAUGACGGUACCAGCAGAAGAAGCACCGGCUAACUACGUGCCAGCAGCCGCGGUAAUACGUAGGGUGCGAGCGUUAAUCGGAAUUACUGGGCGUAAAGCGUGCGCAGGCGGUUUUGUAAGUCAGAUGUGAAAUCCCCGAGCUCAACUUGGGAACU
rnacentral:rRNA from 1 species